CCCCUGGAAGAUAUUUUGCGCGGCCGUCUCACGGGGCUCAAACGUCAUGGACGGGCGCGGUGGCCAUUGACUGCGGGGUCAACACUUGGAUAAAGAGGCGCCUGCCGGAGUCAAGCCCCGUGUCUCCAAGAACCCACUCACCUCGGCAUGCGACGCGGCAUCCGCCAAGCUGAAGUCAUGUUAUCGGCAGAGGAAACGAACGCUGCCAUAACCAUUAACCGAGCAGGCGCUGGCAAUGCCGUUCGUUUCUCUCCGUGACUCUGCGGCACGGCGCAUCGGUCUCAUCGGCCACAGAACCUGAUAAAAGGGUACACAUGCACUCCCUUCAAGACGACGACCCUCUACCCCAAGAACAGCCUCUCCUGAAUGAUAAGUAGCAACAUUAAAUGAAAGGAAA